rnacentral:rRNA from 1 species
UACGUAGGGGGCGAGCGUUGUCCGGAUUUAUUGGGCGUAAAGAGCGUGUAGGCGGCCAGGUAGGUCUGCUGUGAAAACUCGAGGCUCAACCUCGAGACGUCGGCGGAAACCAUCUGGCUAGAGUCCGGAAGAGGAGAGUGGAAUUCCUGGUGUAGCGGUGAAAUGCGCAGAUAUCAGGAAGAACACCCGUGGCGAAGGCGGCUCUCUGGGCUGACACUGACGCUCAUGCACGAAAGCGUGGGGAGCAAACAGG